rnacentral:lncRNA from 1 species
UAUAUAUAGUGAUAUAUAUAUAUAUAUAUAUAUAUAUAUAUAACAAAACUAGAUAAGAAGCUAAGAAGUACAUGCUGACAGGAAGCCGAUAUAGAUGUCUCCUGAGAGGCUCAGCUAGAGAGUAACAAAUACAGAGUCGAAUGCUAGCAGCAAACCAUUGAACUGAGAAUGGUCCUCAUUGGGGAAAUUAGAGAAAGGAUUGAAGGAGCUGAAGGGGCUUGCAACCCCAGAAGAACAAUAAUACCAACCAACCAGAGCUCCCAAGGACUAAACCACCAUCCAAAGAGUACAUAUGAACCGACCCAUGGCUCCAGUUUCAUAUGUAGUAGAGUAUGGCUUUCUUGGGCACCAAUGGGAAUAGAAGCCCUUGUUCCUGCCAAGACUGGACCCCCCCAGUGUAGGAUAAUGUCAGGGAGGCGGGAACUCAGGGUUUAUUUGUUAGGGGAACAACCCUUAUAGAAUAUGGGGUGGGAAAUGCAAUAGGGGGCUUAUGGACAGAAUACCAGGAAAGGGAAUAACAUUUGAAAUGUAUUAAAAAUAUCCAAUAAAAUAUGAUAUAAGUCGAAUUUGUACAAGAUAUCCUUAAAUUC